rnacentral:rRNA from 1 species
CGAAAGUCGGGACUAGUGAUCCGGCACCUCCUGGUGGAAGGGGUGUCGCUCAACGGAUAAAAGGUACCCCGGGGAUAACAGGCUGAUCUUGCCCAAGAGUCCAUAUCGACGGCAUGGUUUGGCACCUCGAUGUCGGCUCGUCGCAUCCUGGGGCCGGAGUAGGUCCCAAGGGUUGGGCUGUUCGCCCAUUAAAGCGGCACGCGAGCUGGGUUUAGAACGUCGUGAGACAGUUCGGUCCCUAUCCGCCGCGCGCGUAGGAUACUUGAGGAAGGCUGUCCCUAGUACGAGAGGACCGGGACGGACGAACCUCUGGUGUGCCAGUUGUUCUGCCAAGGGCAUGGCUGGUUGGCCACGUUCGGAAGGGAUAACCGCUGAAGGCAUCUAAGCGGGAAGCCUGUUCCAAGAUGAGGUAUCCCACCCUUUGUGGGUUAAGGCUCCCAAUAGACCAUUGGGUUGAUAGGCCAGAUAUGGAAGCACAGUAAUGUGUUGUUGAGUUGACUGGUACUAAUAGGCCGAGGACUUGUCUAC